UAAAUCAGCGCCAAGCGCUCACAAGCGGAAAACCAAUCCGAUCGCCGUAUCACUUAUAGACGGCGCUGCUGACCAAUCGAUGACGAGUCCUCGUUGAGUAGAACGAGGCGCCGCUGCAAAAGGGGAGGGGGAAAAGGAGGACUUCAGUGUCGGCUCCUUUCGUGACUUUGGGUCUUUCCGCGGCUUCAGGACUUAGUCUGCUCGGCACUUCCACAUUCGUCUGUUCGGGACUUCGAUCGGGCGGCACCGAUUCGGAGCUGUCAAGGGGGGCCUGGCUCUUUGAAAAGUGCAGCCCUGCCGGGCCCCCCUUCAGGUCCGGGCCAAGAAGUGUAAGAUGAACUUUUCUGAGGAAGAAGUGGAGAUCAUCUUAGAGGAGAUGGAGAAGCGGAAGCACAUCCUCAUUAACCACUUCAACGCUGGGGUGCCUCUGGUGACCAAAAGCAACGCCUGGCACGACCUCCUGAAAAACGCCAAUGUCAUCAGCACGUGCCACCGCCAUACCUCCCAACAUUUUGGAAAUAAAAAGAGGGAUAUAAAAGUUGCCGCGUGUAGUGCAACAAAUUUUUGACCACACCCAUUUUGUAACCACACACCCUACUUGGCGGGCAUGUGGCAGCCUCUUUGUACUUCAAAUGCCAGGGCCUGUCUUGAAUCCUGGUCUGGAUACGAGUAGCAGAAUUACGGGCAAGGGCUCUUCUCCACCAACCAGUUGAGACACUCGCCGCAGGCGGCAACACCCCCCUGGUUGCCAGGGACAGCAAAAAUGCCGCUCCUGCUAACUAAGAGCCAAAUUUCCAUUUCUCAACCUGGAAAUUGGGCUCUUCUAGUGCACAGAGCGCAAUUUCGCUCUCUGCACUAGACCUUCCUGACCCCCUCCAGCGCUGAAAAGGUGAGUGCCAUUGGAGGGAUGGGGGGCGGCAAAAGGAAAGCCGUCUCAGGUGGCAAAAUGCCCAGGAUUGCCCCUGAUUACAGGUAGGCAAGGAAGGCACCUGCCUAGAGUAAAAUCAUUUUUAGAAAGGAGGUGCAACACAGUAUUUGAGGGGCUCAUCAUUAGACCAGAUCCUUGUCUAAGGAUCCACUAAAGCAGUUCUGGACUGGAAGUCAAAAUAGGCCCUGGCAUUUCAGGUACACAGAGGCCCAAUCAGCUCCCCACCAGCCCACUACAUAGUGACUUUCUAUGGAAUCUUAUGGCAGCUCCUCUGGCAUUCGCCAGAACCCACAGAUGGCCAGUCCGGGCCUGCACUAAAGCUGGCCUCACAUAGGGAGAUCUACUUGUUUGUUGACACCUUGAGGUGGGCAAUAUUGGGCUAAUCUGAUCAUGGGCCCUAGGGACAACGAUCAGAUUACAAUUUGUAUCCAGGCAGUUGGAUUGAGGACAGCAUCAAGAAACUGAUGCGGUUCUCGAUUUUUAAUCUCGCCCGAUCGACGUGUCUGAUUUUCGGACCACAUAUUGAUCGGGAAGCCCAUCGGAGGACCCCCAUACACUGCGCAAUAGGCGGACAACUUAAUCUGUUGCCAGUUUAUAUCUGUCCAUGUAAGGGUGCCUCAGUGAUCCCCAACCAGUGGCUUCGUGAGAAUCAUGGUGCUCUCCAAACUCUUGGAUGUUGCUCCCAGUGACCUCAAAGCAGGUGCAUAUUUUUGAAUUCCAGGCUUGGAGGCAAGUGGUUGUAUAUAAACCAGGUGAAAUGCCAAACAGAACAUCCUAUAGACUAACCCUUCACAUAGAGACUAUCAAUUAUACAAUCAGAACCCAUUUUUGGCACCCCCACAAACUUUGUUCAUGCUUUACAUUUGAAUGAGUCUUAUAGGUAAAAAAAAGAUUGGGGACCCCUGUUUCCUGACAGAGAGUAAUGGUGUGGUAGGACUGGGGCAGUGGUCAUACUAUAUAUGGGUGCUAAAGCCCCUUGUCCCAGCUCUGCUUGCCCAUAAAAUCCAUGCCUCGGGCAUCAUCCUAACAUCAUAAAUAUGUUUGCCAUUGCCAGCACUGCAAAAUACAAAAUUGAAAGUUUGCAGCUUCGGGUUUCUUGAAAUUGUAGGAGGCAGAAAAGACAUAUUAACCUAUUACCCCUGCCCCACUUUAUAAAGACUGUAAAGUUGAGACAAAGGCUGCAGCUGGGGGACGGAAGGGGCUUGUUUAUACAUAGCUCAAAAUCACUUCUUAGACUCUUCUAAUUACUUGGAAAGACAGGGAAAUGAGGUUUCUUUUUAAAUUAAAAGAAUGAGUGGAAUAUAAUUUUCAAUUAAGUCAUAUAUAUCAGUGCUGGGCCCAGCGCCCAAGACAGGUCAGUCUGUGUCCUACUGGGCUCCCGCCAUAUCUUUUGGGCCACCCUGGCAGCUGCAGGGGUUGACUCCUCUAUAAUAAUUCCCCUGGAGAGUCUUUUUCAGAGAGGCGAUAAAUUCCACUCUCUCAUUAUCACUUUUCUGGGAAGGAAUGUCCCGUGAAGCUGGUAUAUUGAUCAGUUUCACCCGAGCCUUAUUUUCAGGGUGGCCCUCAAGGGUGCAGGAAAUUACAUGGUGGCUGGACAUAUUAAGUAUGGAUUUAAAAUGUGGUUUUAAUGGUUGAGGUGGAGUAUUUCUAGCAGUGUAUAAGCAGCUCCGCUCAUCUAGAGAUGCUGGGGGAUAUGUACGCUUACAACAUCUGGGAUGCAGAAGGUUGCCUAUUCCUGUUCUAUGUGUUUGCUUAAAGGCCAAUUGUCAUGGUAAAUUGUUUCCCCCCACUGGAGGUGUUAAGCUAAUAGAGCCUGCACUUUGGUUGGUGGAAACAAUAUUUUAUGGGCUAGAGAUUGCUCCUAGUGAGCUCUAUGCUGCUCACACCAGGUGAGAGCUCCCAGUGUGGACGGCCAUGUUGAAACUCAAAGCAUGCAAACAAUGAGGAGUGUCACAGCUCGUUCAUUAUGCAUGUUGUCUCCCUCCCAAUGAAGGCAUUAUAGCUCUAGCUAGAAGCAUUUUCUGGCCCAUGCAGUAUUGCUUUAAUGAACAGGUGCCCUUCAAAUGGAUUUUGUCAUGGUAAAACAUGUUUUUUUCUAAAUACAUUAGUAAAUAAUGCUGCUCCACCAAAUGUCUGCAUUGAAAUAUCUUUUUCAAAAGAGCAAGUAGAUUUUUUUUAAAUCUGACAUGGGGCUAGACGUUGCUGGUUUCCCAGGUGCCCUCAGUUAUGUGACUUGUGCUCUGAUAAACUUCAGUCACUCUCUACUGCUGCACUGCAAGUUUGAGUGACAUCAAAAGCCCCCCCCAGCAGCCAUUGUAAUAAAGCAAUGGGAGGUAACUAAAUAACCACUCCUUGACACCUGCAUUGCUAAAAAUGCUCCCACCUAGUGGUACAUAAGAGAAUAGCACUUAAAAAUAGAAAUCCAGUAGCUGCAGCAAGAAUCAACUUAGCGAAGCACUGGCUACAACCGAUUAUAGACUCUCACGGUAUAAUUGGAAAAAUCACUCAGACUCAGAAUAUGUUAUAUUUAACAGCUUUAUUAGCAGACACAGUGGAAAAACAUACGCAAAUUUGGGCACCAUGGAAUAUAUUUCUUCAAUUGUGAGAGAUAGACAGUCACUCAAUGUAACAGAAAUCGUACUGGUGAAAACAAUUCAUUAUCGAUGUUAUUCUAUACUAAUGUUUCUUUUCCUUUGAAAAUUCUGUAUUGGAAAUAUUUAUGCUUACCAUUUGUUAAUGCAUAUGUUUUUGAAAAAUAAAAGAGAUAUAAAAAAAAAAUAGAAAUCCAGGUCCCACUGCAACUGGUCCAGUUAAAUUUAGUAAGAGAAACAAUAGCUUACCUAAAAGCAGUUCCAUUGUGACGUUCUGGCUCUAUCUGAAAGCACAGAAUCAGGCACAAUGACCCGAGACGGCUGACUACACACCAAUAAUACAGGCAAAAAAAUAAUUUGUUGGCUCAGGAAUAACAUUUUAUUUGGUAGAAAGCAUUAUUUGUAAUGUAAACAGUAUAAUUCAAAAAGAAAAAACUACACAGUAAAAAUCACAACAGAAUCCGUUUAGGGGGUGUAUUGACUGUUGCUGCACUUUGUUGCUGUUAUCAUUUGCUGAAAUAAUCUCUUGCAAAUGAUUAAAGGAAUUAUUGGAGGCGCUUGUGUAUCCAGUGCCUACCGUAUAAGGAUAAAUAUCUAUUUAAGAUUUAAUGAGUAGACAAAUCUAAUCUCAAAUUAAUAACGGCCCAUUUAAUAGGUCACAGAAGCCUGAUAACAGGAGAGGAGUUUUUCCUUAUUAUCGUGUAUUUACAAUGUGCCAGAUGGCUAAUCAGGGCUGUAUAAAUGACGGAACCAGAGAAGUAAAAAAAAACAGGCAGCAAAUAAGAUAAGGCCAUGCCUGCAUGUGACUAUAAUCUAAUUAGAUCGCUGGGUAUGUAAAAGGAAAAGUUGGAUUAUACAGGACAGGAAAGGCA